ACGAACGCUGGCGGCGUGCCUAAUACAUGCAAGUCGAGCGGAAUGAUGAAGAAGCUUGCUUCUUCUGAGUUUUAGUGGCGGACGGGUGAGUAACACGUGGGCAACCUACCUUGUAGAUUGGGAUAACUCCGGGAAACCGGGGCUAAUACCGAAUAAUCCAUUUUGCUUCAUGGCGAGAUGUUGAAAGACGGUUUCGGCUGUCACUAUAAGAUGGGCCCGCGGCGCAUUAGCUAGUUGGUAGGGUAAUGGCCUACCAAGGCGACGAUGCGUAGCCGACCUGAGAGGGUGAUCGGCCACACUGGGACUGAGACACGGCCCAGACUCCUACGGGAGGCAGCAGUAGGGAAUCUUCCACAAUGGACGAAAGUCUGAUGGAGCAACGCCGCGUGAGUGAAGAAGGUUUUCGGAUCGUAAAACUCUGUUGUAAGGGAAGAACACGUACGAGAGUAACUGCUCGUACCUUGACGGUACCUUAUUAGAAAGCCACGGCUAACUACGUG
rnacentral:rRNA from 1 species